GCGUGAGUGAUGAAGGCCCUAGGGUCGUAAAGCUCUUUCGCCGGGGAAGAUAAUGACGGUACCCGGUAAAGAAGUCCCGGCUAACUCCGUGCCAGCAGCCGCGGUAAUACGGAGGGGACUAGCGUUGUUCGGAAUUACUGGGCGUAAAGCGCGCGUAGGCGGACCAUUAAGUCAGGGGUGAAAUCCCGGGGCUCAACCCCGGAACUGCCUCUGAUACUGGCGGUCUUGAGUUCGAGAGAGGUGAGUGGAAUUCCGAGUGUAGAGGUGAAAUUCGU
rnacentral:rRNA from 1 species